UUGGAGGGCAAGUCUGGUGCCAGCAGCCGCGGUAAUUCCAGCUCCAAUAGCGUAUAUUAAAGUUGUUGCAGUUAAAAAGCUCGUAGUUGAAUUUCGGGAUCAGUAGGUUGGUCAUGCCUAUGGUAUGUACUGGCUUUACUGGUUCCUCCUUCUUGAUGAUCUGUAAUGUCAUUAAUUUGGUGUUGCAGGGAGUCAGGACUGUUACUUUGAAAAAAUUAGAGUGUUUAAAGCAGGCAUACGCUUGAAUACAUUAGCAUGGAAUAAUGAAAUAGGACGUUCGAACCUAUUUUGUUGGUUUCUAGGAUUGACGUAAUGAUUAAUAGGGAUAGUUGGGGGCAUUAGUAUUCAAUUGUCAGAGGUGAAAUUCUUGGAUUUAUUGAAGACUAACUACUGCGAAAGCAUUUGCCAAGGAUGUUUUCAUUAAUCAAGAACGAAAGUUAGGGGAUCGAAGACGAUCAGAUACCGUCGUAGUCUUAACCAUAAACUAUGCCGACUAGGGAUCGGAUGAUGUUAUUUUUAAUGACUCAUUCGGCGCCUUACGGGAAAC
rnacentral:rRNA from 1 species